rnacentral:lncRNA from 1 species
GUGUUGAGAUGUGUCCUAAACACUUCAUGAGCUUGAUCCAAACUUAGAGUCUAGGUGUGCCAAGCUCUUCUAGUCUUCCUGCAUCACUGGAAUGCUAUGAAAAUAGUAAUGGAGGGCUGUGGCACGAGCCCUGUGCUCUUAGAUGUACCACCAGAUAGGUACCCUCCUAGCGUAUCUUCCAGCCAACCAUACAUACUAAAAGCCAUGGGUCUGCUGAAGUCACAUUCAUGAGUCACAUUCAGCCUUUAAAUGAGCAGACAAAAUCUCUGAAUGUGUUGGCUAGAUCUCUGCCUUGGCAUGGUGGAGCGCUGAAGUGAAUAGGAUGGUGGGAUGUGGUUGCCUCCAGUGGCUGUCACAGGUCUGUCUGCAAGCCUUCUACAUUCUUCCCAGGACCGGAAGCUGCAGAAACCGUAACUUCUCAGCAUGGAAGUGGUUCCAUGUAAGUUGGUUUAUUUUUAGUAAUGUUUCAAGGCAUGCUGGCACACAGCUUAGUACAGUGUUCUGGAAGUACAGGAAUUGUGUUUCGGGCUACAAGUAUUGGAGACUCAGUGGUAGUGCCACUGUGACAAAGCCCUCUGCUUGCUCAGUCUCUAGCUAACGUACUUGCCCUUUCUGUCAGCGCUAAUUCAAAGCCCAAAAGACAGUAGCUAGAAAGAAGAGUUAGCUUGAGCCAGUUUUUGCAGGCUACUCUGUGUUCGGUCCAGAGGUAGCCUUAACUUCAGAACAUUAAAAUUACAACACUCUAGGCAAAUUGUAUAUGGUACAGCAAAUGGUACAUUGUGUUAAUAAACGCUGUAUUGGCUGAAAAGGUCCGAUCAAUACUUGGUCUUUACUCUUAGCAUUGUCUCCUGUACAUGAAAGACACACUACUAUGGAAUAUCUUGCCGUGUAACUAGUUUGGUUCAGUUUAAGGUGGUUUUAUGUAACAUCAAUAUGUUAAUAGUUUUCUGAUACUUAGUAAUUAUACUUUAUCGAUCAUGUGUAAUCUUUCUAAUUUUUAACAUA